rnacentral:lncRNA from 1 species
GCUUCUGGUACCAGAACUCAAAAAUGGACAGAGAAAUUCUUUGUGUUUAAUGAGACUCCAUCACCUUUUUGACUGCAGGGAGCAGUUUCUGGGUUCAACUCUGCUGGACUUCCUGUGACUGAGUCCAGUGAAUUGUUUCUUGCCCCAGGACUGUGCUGCUCACACCAGAAGAUCUCAUGAAGGCAGAGGAGCCAGCCACAGAGGUGCCUCUGGGAGUAAAGUGGUGCAGAAUUAAUUUCGAGUUCCUGGCUUUUCAUCCUGCUCUUAACACCUGCUCGUUUUAUGGCCUGUCACAAGAACACCCGAACAUCUGGUGGCUUCCUUCUGUGUCCCACUAUAGAAAAGCCUCCAAGUUGUACUGAAAACUUUCCCUGAGCCUUCUUCCUGAGCCUUCCUUCAUUCCAGGAUCUUUACAUUCCAAGGCAGAAUCCAUUUUCAGAACACUGAUGUCAAGCUCUGGAGCGCUGGGACAGAUGGCUCAGUUCUAAUCCCAUGUGUAUUAUAUCUAUAUGGAAAACAAAAACAAGUCUUCACUCUGAUUUAGAAAGAUGGUCCACAAUGAAAUUUAAAAGCAGCUUAAUUCUGAAUUUUGCUAAGCCAACUAAGCCAGGUAAUUUGGGUUAAAGUAGAAGGAAGAUUUGGGAAUGAAAUAACUUUGACUUUGAAAAUCAAGGGGAGAUGAAACUUAUUAUGCUUUAAACAUUUGACAAUUAGCCAUUUAGUGCUAAAAUUAGUAAUUUAGUGUUACAAUAAUCAAUUUAGUGUUAUAACAGAAUUACGUACAAAACUUGGAUUCCUCAGGAACAGCCACCAGUAAUUCCCUAUUCCCUGAGGAACAACAUGUUGAAGGUAGGGAAGACCCUGCAGGAUCUCUGGACACUAAACUCUAAAAUACUGAGAGAGAACAGGAAAAAGUCAGUGCUUUUUCUGGAAAAUGUUUUCAUAGAAUUAAAUCAGAGCACAUCCAGUGUGUACAUUGGGAGUGCUUUAUUAUGACUGUAACAACAUCAAACAAAAGCUGUCAGAUAAGUAACUGGACUCUAACUCCUAUUCCAGCUGAGGAAAGGGUGUAACAAGGAAGAGAAAUUAUUUGCAGAAGGAAAACAAUAAUUUGAAAAACCUCCUCCUGCUCAUUUUAAAAAUAAUAUCCCGGAGCUCUGCGUAAAUUCAGUCAUGACCAGGUUUCUCCAGUUUGAAUGAGUUCAGAGGACAGCUGCUUUUCUAUAUUAUUAUUAUAUUUCUAUAUUGUAUUUACAACCCAGGUACUUCCAGGGACAAUGCAGAUAAUUCCAUGGCUUUAUCCUGGAUGUUUGACUUCUCAGAACUGAGAAAGAAUUCAGCUCUCUGAGCUGAAAGGUAGAA